GAGGCUUUAGCUUAAUUAAAGCGUCUGAUUUGCAUUCAGAAGAUGUGGGAUAGUGACCCGUAGGCCUUA
rnacentral:tRNA from 1 species